rnacentral:rRNA from 1 species
UACGAAGGGGGCUAGCGUUGUUCGGAAUCACUGGGCGUAAAGGGUGCGUAGGCGGGUCUUUAAGUCAGAGGUGAAAUCCUGGAGCUCAACUCCAGAACUGCCUUUGAUACUGAAGAUCUUGAGUUCGGGAGAGGUGAGUGGAACUGCGAGUGUAGAGGUGAAAUUCGUAGAUAUUCGCAAGAACACCAGUGGCGAAGGCGGCUCACUGGCCCGAUACUGACGCUGAGGCACGAAAGCGUGGGGAGCAAACAGGG